rnacentral:rRNA from 1 species
UAUGCUUAGCCUUAAACCCAGAUGCACUCUUACAUUCUCAUCCGCCAGGGUACUACAAGCACAGCUUAAAACCCAAAGGACUUGGCGGUGCCUCAGACCCACCUAGAGGAGCCUGUUCUAAAACCGAUAACCCCCGUUAAACCUCACCACUUCUUGUUUUUCCCGCCUAUAUACCGCCGUCGUCAGCUUACCCUGUGAAGGCCCAGCAGUAAGCAAAACGGGCCCGCCCAAAAACGUCAGGUCGAGGUGUAGCGUACGAAGUGGGAAGAAAUGGGCUACAUUUUCUACAAUAGAAUAUUACGGACGGCGCCCUGAAAUUAGCGCCCAAAGGUGGAUUUAGUAGUAAAAAACAAAUAGAGAGUCUUUUUGAAUUAGGCUCUGAGGCGC